rnacentral:pre_miRNA from 1 species
AUUAACAGCCAUAGUUUGCUGAUGGAGCAUCAUCAAGAUUCACAGAUCUAGCUGUGGUACUAUUAUAGUUGGCUAGUAGAGAAAACUUGGGAAUCUUGAUGAUGCUGCAUCGGCAAUCAAUGGCUUAGU